rnacentral:lncRNA from 1 species
GUGAGGGGAGGGGUGGGCUCGCACCUGCACUUGGCAGGCUGCAGGGGGUGCUGCUCGCUGGCCCGGCCUGAGGCCUUCCCGGCUCUCUCCCGCCCCUCCUGUCCUGGAGCCCAGCAAGCCGCACCCCCGCCUCCACCACCUCGGCCCCCCUUUCUGGGGCACUCACGUCUCUAUCGGCCAGAUCUCCCCUAUCUUUCCAGGCCCACGCCUCUCCCACCUGACGCCCACAAACCCUGCGGUCAGACCCUCUUCAAGGACCCCCUACAGCUGCCCCUCUCUCAGGGUCCUUCGGGUGAUCAUGUAGUCACUGCAGCUCCACAUCCCGUACGCCCGGGAUCGCACCCAGCAAGUCCUUGCUGGGGCGUCCAUGAGUGUCCCCACCCCGCCGCCCCGCCACUGGGCGCCCGGGACUCGGCUCAGACGCGCGGAGGGAAGGCAGGGCGGCUGCAGAGAGCAGAGCCGAGGAGGAACCGAAAGGCUCAGAAACGCGGUGUGACCAGCGCCCUCCUGGACAAACCUCCCCGGGCCCCGCGUCAUCGCCGCGGCCACGCGCAGCGCCGCGGGUCGCCGCCCCUCCCAGACCUCCGCGCCCGGAGCUCAGGCUCCGUCCUCUUCCCCAAGGAGCUACUAAUCACGCCCCAAGGACGUUGGCCCCCGGGGAAGGGGAGGACCCCAGGCCUGCGCCCGGCUGCGGGGAGGCGCCCCGCCCUCCCCCCUCCUCCUCGCCCCUCUCAGUUUCUCUCCCUUUUCUUCUCCUCUUCACUCAGCCCUUUUUCCUCUCCACACCCAGUCCCUUGUCCCCUCUUCGCUCACUCCACCCCACUUUCCUUCUUCCCUCCCCAGUGGGUACCUCUCCCCCUUUCCUCUCCCCUACAACCUCCCCUCUCCACUCCCCACCGUCCCUCUCGCCUCCCCGGUCCCCCCUGCCCCGCCUCCCCAUUCGGGUCACCCUGUCCCAGUCCCACUCUUCCCCCCUCUUCCGCCCCUCCCUCCCUCUCCUCUCCCCUCUCCCGCCCAGCGCCGUCCUCCCCACUCCUCCGCACCCCGCCAGUCCCCUCGUCCCCGCCCCGCCGUCUCCUGGCGCCGGCGUAA